rnacentral:sRNA from 1 species
CCAGACAGAUGGGAAGGCAGGAUGAGAACCGCAGGUUCGACCCGAGUGCCUCGUGCGAGGGAACGAACGAGCGGAAGCGAGGUCGGCCCCGUAGGGGUGAGGUGCAACGCACCGAGUAAUCCUGCCGCCCCAGCCA